rnacentral:rRNA from 1 species
GACGAACGCUGGCGGCGUGCUUAACACAUGCAAGUCGAACGGAAAGGCCCUGCUUUUGUGGGGUGCUCGAGUGGCGAACGGGUGCGUAACACGUGAGUAACCUGCCCUUGACUUUGGGAUAACUUCAGGAAACUGGGGCUAAUACCGGAUAGGAGCUCCUGCUGCAUGGUGGGGGUUGGAAAGUUUCGGCGGUUGGGGAUGGACUCGCGGCUUAUCAGCUUGUUGGUGGGGUAGUGGCUUACCAAGGCUUUGACGGGUAGCCGGCCUGAGAGGGUGACCGGCCACAUUGGGACUGAGAUACGGCCCAGACUCCUACGGGAGGCAGCGGUGGGGGAUAUUGCACGAUGGGCGGAAGCCUGAUGCAGCGACGCCGCGUGCGGGAUGACGGCCUUCGGGUUGUAAACCGCUUUCGCCUGUGACGAAGCGUGAGUGACGGUAAUGGGUAAAGAAGCACCGGCUAACUACGUG